AAACCAUGAUGAGGAUACUCUAAGAGGAGGUCCUUAAAACGUUCCAUACACCUAGAAAAUGAUUCAUUGGGUUUUGAUGAAACUGGAGAAUGUCGUUCCUAAGUUU
rnacentral:snoRNA from 1 species